AGAGUUUGAUCAUGGCUCAGGAUGAACGCUAGCGGCAGGCCUAACACAUGCAAGUCGAGGGGUAGGGUUAGCUUGCUAACCUGAGACCGGCGCACGGGUGCGUAACGCGUAUGCAAUCUACCUUGUACAGAGGGAUAGCCCAGAGAAAUUUGGAUUAAUACCUCAUAGUAUUAUCGAAUGGCAUCAUUUGAUUAUUAAAGUUCCAACGGUACAAGAUGAGCAUGCGUCCCAUUAGUUAGUUGGUAAGGUAACGGCUUACCAAGACGAUGAUGGGUAGGGGUCCUGAGAGGGAGAUCCCCCACACUGGUACUGAGACACGGACCAGACUCCUACGGGAGGCAGCAGUGAGGAAUAUUGGACAAUGGGCGCAAGCCUGAUCCAGCCAUGCCGCGUGCAGGAUGAAGCAUCUAUGGUGUGUAAACUGCUUCUAUACAGGAAGAAACCCUACCACGUGUGGUAGAUUGACGGUACUGUAGGAAUAAGGAUCGGCUAACUCCGUGCCAGCAGCCGCGGUAAUACGGAGGAUCCAAGCGUUAUCCGGAAUCAUUGGGUUUAAAGGGUCCGUAGGCGGUUUUGUAAGUCAGUGGUGAAAUCUGGUCGCUUAACGAUCAAACGGCCAUUGAUACUGCAAGACUUGAAUUAUUGGGAAGUAACUAGAAUAUGUAGUGUAGCGGUGAAAUGCUUAGAUAUUACAUGGAAUACCAAUUGCGAAGGCAGGUUACUAUCAAUAUAUUGACGCUGAUGGACGAAAGCGUGGGGAGCGAACAG
rnacentral:rRNA from 1 species